UAUCAGAGGAGGCUGGAUACAAAAUUUGGUUUCUCUAGAUCUUAUAGUAUCUACAAUCUAAGAGCUCAUCGGAACUGACAGACGGACAAACACACAAUAAUAGAUACACUUUAUAGGGUCGGAAUUGCUUUCCCCUAUACUCACUUUAAGUAUCGUCUAUAAUAAUUGCACUCUCACAUAUAUUACAUUUUUUAAUGUCUUCUUUUGCCUCAACAUACAAUAUUUCUGUAGAUUCUUAUAUAAUCGGAAACUGUUACGGAAAUAACAUUAACAAGUCUACUACGAGCGUAUUUGAAACGAUUUGCCAUCAAAUUUGCAUCACAUCGUAAAAUUUUAUAUUGACAAACAAUUUCCAUAGCUAAUAUAUAAUUGCAGUUUUGUGGCAAACAACUGGAAAA